GACGGCGACGGCCGAAAGGCUGCUCGCGGGGCCUCUUCGCCGCUGUCGAUUGCGGGAUGCCGACCAGAAUUCGAUCAAAGUGCUCACAUUGCCCACGAUCUUGACGCUCGGUCGUGUUGCUGCUGUGCCGCUCUUCAUCAGCAGUACGUGUCUCUUCCACAUAAAAGUUUGCACAUUUCUUCAUUUUUUCAUCUGGUGUUUCAUGCGUAUAUCGCCACUGAGGCAUAGCAUUUAGCUGGUCUGUCUGCUUUGGAUAGAUGGAGCUUGGAUUUCCAUUUCGGAUAUGAGAUUGGAGGGGAAUUUUUUAGAAAAAUCAACAGAAUUUGAGUGGAAAUGUAUGAUUAUUAUGCAAGAACCUAAGGAGAAAUCUUGGGGCCCUGUGGUAAUGCUUGAAUGAUUCAAGUUCUGUAUUUCCCUUACUUCCGUUGCUGAUGCAUGGCAUUGGGUAGAUACUAGUUCUACUGUCAAUGGCGAUUUCGACUUUCAUUUUCCUCAGCUGGGUAGUGAAAGUAGAUGGCAUCGAAUUGGUUUUCUUUUCAAAUCCUAUUUGUUACCUUUUGCCGCCCCUUUCUUUAACUGGUGAGGCAUUGUGCUUUUAACACCAUACCUUCAUUUUAUGGCUAGAUAGGAUGUUGGCCUGUUUUAGUUGUGUAUAUACUUGUCCUUGUCGUAUUCGAAUUGCAAUCUCCGAGGCGUGUGGAUGGGGUUACUUAAGUCCACAGUGUUCUUAUAGUUGAAUUGUUUAUGAGGCAUAUGUGGAGGCUCAAUCUUGAUGAUGGCUUGACAUGGUUUCUUCUUUCACCAGCUUUUUAUAUGGAUAGUUGGUGGAUUACUACUGCUAUGACUAGCAUUUUUAUUGCUGCAGCAAUUACUGAUUGGCUCGAUGGCUAUCUUGCUCGGAAGAUGCGAUUAGGCUCUGCUUUUGGUGCUUUCUUAGAUCCAGUGGCUGACAAGUGUCAUAACAAUGGCUAUCAUUUCGGGCUGUUGCUGUAAAUAACUUGGGAAAUUGGAAGACAGCCACCCAGACGACUGCACUAACCAUCUUAUUGGCGACUAGUAUAUCUUCCUCUUUGUAGUAGUCAGGUAAGAAGGUUUGUGUGGUUUGAAAAUCUAAUGCUUACUCAUUUGCUUGUGCAGUACUGGAGGACCUGGGCUGACUGGUACUGGAAAGGCUUCGCUUUAUAUCUCGGUCGGGCUUGCUGUCUGGUCCUUGGCUGUGUAUAUAAGGAAGAUAUGGAAAGUUUAUUUUGCUAAAAUAGUGUUAUGCGCCCAGUGCUUAGCUUUUAGCUUUCCUGGACUUGGCAGCAAAAUACAGUGCAGUCUCCAGUUACUCGAAGGGAGAAUUAUUAGUAUAGUUACUGGUUCUUGAAUAUCUUUCUUCUGGAGGUAGGUCCCUUAGGAUGGUGUGUCACGCCAAGAUCCUUGGCGCAGGUUGGGGAAGUAAGUGAACAAUGCUAGGCAACUAUGGGAAGAAGAUACAAGAUCGAAAUCUAGCUGUCAGGAAUUUCAAUCAUUGCUGUAGUUUUCUCUUUGUUUCAGAAGAAGAGAAAGUUCUCUGUAAUUCAGAAGAAAUGAGCAUCCUUUGAAGGAAUACAUUCUUGAUGCUGACAAUUCGUUCAAGAGGUUUGAAGGGUGUUCCUUAUCGUAGCACUGCAAUACAUUCUUCAUUCUGGCAAUUCAUUAAAUGGGUUGUUUACGAGCGAUAAAUUUCUGGCUGUUAUGGCUCCUUGGGAUAAACAUUGACGAUAGAAAUCAAGCUGCCAAGCUUCUGCAGGAAUAGGUUAUGCAUAAGCACCCUUCUAUAUAUAGCAUAUGCAAGAGUGCUUUACUCUUAAGAGGAAUCGUAAGGCAGACUACUCAUGUUCCAUCAUCAACAACAUCAUCAUCACCAGGAAGAAUCAAGAAUAGGCAGUCUCUCGUUGUUCUUCAAUCCUUUAGUCCGAAAAAAGUCUUUAUCGGCUUCCGAAAUAUGCUGUUUAUAUCCUUCACUGCCUCCUUCAAGUCAAUGGUCGGAUCUACUAACCCAUGGUGGCAAACAUUUUCCACCAUUGGGUCAUCCAAGAUCGCCGACCCGACAAAUUUGCAGACAGCUGUGUCCUCUCUGAAGUUUCCUUGAGAUGAUUCACAUUUCUCAACUCGUCAGAACUCUCAAGAUCACUUGGCCGAGAGAAAACAAAUGCAGAGAAGAUAGAAUUUUCCGUGUCAUCUCCUUUAUCCCGCCCUCCCAAUUUUCUCUGUCAUCAAUGUAGAUUUCGAGUGGUUUCUAUCGGGGCUGGAUAGGUUCAUUUUUCUCAUCUGAAUCGUCGUCAAUGAACAUUGUGAGUCCUCUGUUAGAACUCAGAUAUUCUUUUUGUUGGUUACUAUUUGCUCCCAAGUCCUUUCAAUAGAACAGCAAUCUCGAUGGGCUCAA